GACGAACGCUGGCGGCGUGCUUAACACAUGCAAGUCGAACGGCAAGGCCCUGCUUUUUUGGUGUUCUCGAGUGCCGGUCGCGUGCGUAACACGUGAGUAACCUGCUCUUCUCUUUGGUAUAACUUCACGUAACUGGGGUUAAUCUCGUAUAGGAUCUCCUCCUGCAUGGUGGGCGUUGGAACUUUUCGGCGGUUGGGGAUGGAUUCGCGGGUUAUGAGCUUGUUGGUGGGGUAGUGGCUUACCAAGGCUUUGACGGGUCGGCGGCCUGGGAGGGUGAACGGCCACAUGGGGACUGAGGGACGGACCAGACGCCUAUGGGAGGCAGUGGGGGGGAAUAUUGCACAGUGGGAGGAAGUGGGAGGAAGAAACGCUGGGGGCGGGAUGACGGCUUUCGGGUUGUAAACAGCUUCAGGCUGUGACGAAGCGGGAGUGACGGUAAUGGGUAAAGAAGCACCGGCUAACUACGUG
rnacentral:rRNA from 1 species